rnacentral:miRNA from 1 species
CCCGAUGACUGGAAGGAAUCCCUUCCGGCCAUCAAGAUUGUAUGGUCCCAAUGACCGGAAGGAAUCCCUUCCGGUCAUCAAGACCAUUCGAUGACCGGAAGGACCCCUUCCGGUCAUCGACACCAUUGCAAUUUCGAUGACCGGAAGGAAUCCCUUGCGGCCAUCAAG